AUGUAUUGCAUUACAGUUUAUACUAAAAUUGGAAUGAUACAGAGAAGAUUAGCAUGGCCCCUGUGCAAAAAUGACACAAAAAUUUUGAAAGCAUUUCAAAUUUUU
rnacentral:snRNA from 1 species